GUAAAAAUAUUAUGUGGAAAGCAGAUGAACGCUUGUAGGAAUUCAUCGCUAUAGAAUUUUGUGUGGUAUAAGGAAUGGAAGAUAGCAGGAUUUUGCUUAUCGCUUCAGGAUCUAUGAACUAUAAAGCAUUAUUUUAGAUUGUAAAUACCUGAUUCCACAUAUCCACUCUGGAUAUUUUAUUAUUAUUUUGUCAAUUUUUUGGCUUCUGAGAAGAUAUUGAAAUUUCACCUGCAAGUAGUUGGACUUUACGGGCAGGGCAGGGCAGGGCAGGCUAUAGAAUUUUGUGUGGUAUAAGGAAUGGAAGAUAGCAGGAUUUUGCUUAUCGCUUCAGGAUCUAUGAACUAUAAAGCAUUAUUUUAGAUUGUAAAUACCUGAUUCCACAUAUCCACUCUGGAUAUUUUAUUAUUAUUUUGUCAAUUUUUUGGCUUCUGAGAAGAUAUUGAAAUUUCACCUGCAAGUAGUUGGACUUUAC
rnacentral:lncRNA from 1 species